GCGUGUAUGGUGUAACGGCUAGCAUCUCAGUUUUCCGAACUGAUGGCUCGGGUUCGACUCCCGAUACACGCAC
rnacentral:tRNA from 1 species